CGAGAUUCUGAAAGUAGCGGCGAGCGAAAUUGGAAGAGCCUGCAAGCGUUAGCAGAUUCGAUACCGGAACGGUCUGGAAAGGCCGGCUACAGAGGGUGACAGCCCCGUACGGGAAAUUGGAUCUGUGGGACUGAGCUUGCGACAAGUAGGGCGGGACACGAGAAAUCCUGUCUGAAGAUGGGGGGACCAUCCUCCAAGGCUAAAUACUCGUGAUCGACCGAUAGUGAACCAGUACUGUGAAGGAAAGGUAAAAAGAACCC
rnacentral:rRNA from 1 species